GGAGAUUUGGCAGAGAUGGUCUAUGCGGCGGACUGAAAAUCCGUAGAAACUGAUUCGAGUUCAGUAAUCUCCACCA
rnacentral:tRNA from 2 species